GAUGAACGCUGGCGGCGUGCCUAAUACAUGCAAGUCGAGCGAACAGAUGAGGAGCUUGCUCCUCUGACGUUAGCGGCGGACGGGUGAGUAACACGUGGAUAACCUACCUAUAAGACUGGGAUAACUUCGGGAAACCGGAGCUAAUACCGGAUCAUAUAUUGAACCGCAUGGUUCAAUAGUUAAAGACGGUUUUGCUGUCACUUAUAGAUGGAUCCGCGCCGCAUUAGCUAGUUGGUAAGGUAACGGCUUACCAAGGCGACGAUGCGUAGCCGACCUGAGAGGGUGAUCGGCCACACUGGAACUGAGACACGGUCCAGACUCCUACGGGAGGCAGCAGUAGGGAAUCUUCCGCAAUGGGCGAAAGCCUGACGGAGCAACGCCGCGUGAGUGAUGAAGGUCUUCGGAUCGUAAAACUCUGUUAUUAGGGAAGAACAAAUGUGUAAGUAACUAUGCACGUCUUGACGGUACCUAAUCAAAAAGCCACGGCUAACUACGUG
rnacentral:rRNA from 1 species